rnacentral:rRNA from 1 species
CAGUCGCCGCGGUAAAACGAAGGGUGCAAGCGUUACUCGGAAUUACUGGGCGUAAAGCGUGUGUAGGUGGUUGUUUAAGUCUGUCGUGAAAGCCCUGGGCUCAACCUGGGAAUUGCAGUGGAUACUGGGUCACUAGAGUGUGGUAGAGGAUAGUGGAAUUUCCGGUGUAGCAGUGAAAUGCGUAGAGAUCGGAAGGAACAUCUGUGGCGAAGGCGACUAUCUGGGCCAACACUGACACUGAGGCACGAAAGCGUGGGGAGCAAACAGGAUUAGAGACCCCUGUAGUCCCUGUCUCUUAUAC